GGAAACGGAAACGACCCCAGGAGCAGCGGGACUCCGGCGGGCGGACCACGCAGCCGUCGGGCUUCCCGGCUUCGUGAGCGCCUUCACUCUGGAUAAAAAGUUCCAGCGCACGCACAUGGCACGGCAGUCCCCGUCAUUCCUAUCUCACCGACAGGGAACCGAGGCGCCUGGCAGAGUCAACGUCACAGCUCGUCAACACUGACGCCUCAUUGGGCCUCCUGGGGACGCCAGGCACACAGCUAAGCUCGUGCCUCAAGUGUUGGUGGUCCCAACGGAAGAGCAGCCUUUCUCCUCCUCGGCCCCGGCGCUGGCACUCUGUCCCCUUCCCGCUCAGCCAAGACCACACUGUCCAGAGGUCCGGCAGUGUGGCCGUUUCCAGAUACAGACUCCUCCCUGUUCCUUUUCUGUUGAGAUGAAGGACCUCUCUAUUGCCCGCCCUUUACGAUGCUGACUGUAUUCUGGAAUCCCAAAGCUCCUCACUCACAGCUCUCUGCAAUCCAUCUGUGUCCUCCUUACCUCCUCCCCUGGGGGGUCCUGUGUCAGAUGGGGGGGUUCCACCUCUGACCCCCCUGGUCACUACCCCCUCGACUUCCCAUCUGUUUUAAAAGAACGUGGGGUUCCAAGCAUCCAGAGUCCUUGAGAAUGACUUUAAC
ensembl:lncRNA